rnacentral:lncRNA from 1 species
GCGACGCCCCUGACAGUAUCAUGAUUUCUAAAUGAAUAUUUCUGAAUUAUUUUCAUUGUAGACCAUGGACCUCUACCAGAUCAACCAAGGCUUGACGUUGGAGAUGUCGGGUCACAAUGACAGACAUGCCUCAUUGAAGUUCAAAUGUGUCAACAUUUCAUAUGUUUACAUGAAGUGUUUAGUACAUGCUCCCAGUGUCUUGUUUCCCUGUGUGAACACCACUUCAAAGAGGACAACCCAUGUGCAAACCACAAUAACUAUGCUCAUCUACUUCAAAUUCCGGAGAGGUUUUCAGAAGAUCAUCCAGCAAUCGACACAGUUCUGGAAUUGAUGACGGUUGUUCCCUUAGCAAUCGAAGUGCAGGAGACAGUUGACAUAGUUUCAAGUUAUCCAAGCAGACAGUGAAGAGAGUGGCUUCUACACAGAGAUAUUGGAGAACGUCCUGAACAAAGUGAGGUAAAAGUCUGAAGCUUUAAAAUGGUUGCCUGUUACAAAUUCUGCCAAGGGAGUGGAGAAUUUUCUUUGAAAAAGAUAAAUGUAUUUUUGUUGUACCAGAAAAUGGCUGGUGUACAUCUCUUUAGACAGAGUAAAUGGAAUAAUUGCUCUGCUUCCCUCUGAUGGAGGGGUUCUGGGAUAAAUGACCAUGCAGACGUACUGCAAUUCUCUUCUUUCUCCUCCCAUCUCUCUUUCUCUCUCUCUCUCUUUCACUCCCUUAUUUCUUGAUGAUGGCUGGGUUUAAAGGUGGGGUAAGGGGAGAGAGUGAAUGUAUUGGUUCAUUAAAUCAAGGCAAGAGAGGAGAAGCAAAAGGAGAGAAGCAUGUCAGUCAGAUUGCAAGGUUACAGUCAUUUACAUUGACUUGCUGCAGUGUUGACUCCUUCAUCCUUCACCAGUACUUUUACUUUUAUAGAAUUUUGCACUCUGUACAGUUCAAAGCAUGAAUAUGUUAAACUAAUAUUUUGUCCACCACUUUUAUAUUUUUUAUUCUAAUACAGAAUAAGAGAGCCAGGAAACGUAUUGCAGAUCCCAACAGCUGCUAAAGUUUCACUUAUUGUCAUACUUUUUUGUAUCGCCUUUGAUAAUGCUGAAAUAUUUUUGAAGUAUUUUCUCUUUUGUUAACUUACUGCACAGUACGUUAACUGCAGAAUACACAAAGUUCUUUUAAGAGCUACCAUAUUGUACUUUCUGCCAUAAACGUGUGCUACAGUUUCACUUAUUGUCAUACUUUUUUUUUAUAUCGCCUUUGAUAAUGCUGAAAUAUUGUUCAAGUAUUUUCUCGUAUGUUAACCUACUGCACAGUACGUUAACUGCAGAAUACACAAAGUUAUUUUAAGAGCUACCAUGUUGUAAUUUCUGCCAUGAACAUGUGCUACAGUUUCACUUAUUGUCAUACAAUUUUGUUUAUUUGCCUUUGAUAAUGCUGAUAUAUUGUUCAAGUAUUUUCUCUUUUGUAAACUUACUGCACAGUUUUUAAAACUAUGGUACAAAAGCUCACUAGAGCUAGAACAGAUUCAACGCAGAAUACAAAACUUUCUUUUGAGAGCUACCAUGUUGUUCUUUCUGCCAUGAGCAUGUGCUACAGAUAAGUUCCAAUUUUUAUAUUUAAUCAUGAUUCAUUAUGAUUGAUCAAUUUUGAAUGAUUGUACAUGGAAUUGUAAAAUGAACUGUACAAAAGGAUUCCAGUUAUAUUGCA